AAUAGGUAUCAAACUUAGCAUCCCGGCGUUUUCAUCCCUACAAUGAUGAAAGGGCACAAGAACACUCUGCUUACAAUCUGUCAGAAAUGAACGCAUCAUUACUGUAUUUCUAUUGCCGAUAAAUCUAUCAAAACACCUUGAAAUUUGUACAGGUGCAGCUCUACAGUUGCGAGUUGCCCUGUGACAUUGUUUUCCCCCAAACGAACCGCUGUUCGAAUGUUCUCUCCAAGACGUCACAAAUGGACGCGGCGCCUGCGUGUUGUGUCAAAUUCGAAAGUUUUCGAACACCACAAACUUGUUGCUGCGUCAAAUUGACACACUUCUCUCCAAGUUUGCUGCGUAUUUUCUUUAGAUAUGGAGACGAUGGUGCGAGACUUGGGCCAGGGUGAUGGCGGGAAGGAGAGAUCACCUGUCCGUCUGGAGCGUCCUGACUUCUGCUGUCUGGUUCCUGAACCAGCCUUGUGUGUGGAAGUGGAUCACACAGGGAGUAAUGGUUAGUCACCUGUGACGUUCACGGCCACUAACAUUUGGACACAGAGCAACCGACUCUCAGCAUGAUGAGCCCACUGUUCGGCCCGAUGAUCGCCGUGUCACUGUGGCGACGCUCCGAGAGGCAGCUGAGAUUGUUGCACAUCAGGGGGAAGGCGACGUGAAGGGCACGGCCGGGCACAGUCGCGGGCGGAGUGUCCGUCCAGCCGCCCGCCUUUACCGCAAAGCCAAACGGGCAGCUUCUGAGACGACGACGACUGGUGCCUCUAAGGUCCGUCGAAAGCGUCAGAAGAGGAAAGUUGAGGAGGAGGUCGAAGACGACUCCCGACCACAGCCGAAGAGGAAGACACCAGAGAGUCUAACACCCCGCACGUACUACGAUCCCCGCCUGUCCAGAGUCGCGCCCAUCUACCAAGAUGUAGUCGCAGGAGACAGGGUCCUCGUCAACUUUAUCGCCGACGAUCCCUGCCCGUGGGAGUCGACCAACAGCGUGGAGCUGUCAGCAUGCGAGAGAGGCGUCACCCCCACCGACUUCGACUUCUGCAGCUGCUACCGACAGUACCAGGACUUUCAGACCAGGAAGGUGCUGUCGCUGGUAGCCAGUGAACUGACGAUGUGGCUGGACAACCAGGAGUCGGACAGGAUGUAAAAUGCAUCCGAUAUGAUGAAACGGGUUAUGGACUUUUUAAGAAUGACCUGACAUUUAAAAAAGUAUAUAUUGUGCCAAGAAGGUCUUUUAAAAAAUAUGUAUAUUUUCGUAUAGAAAUUUUAAAGUAUUGCUAUUUUUAUACUAACUGAGAAGAAAAGAGACACCCUGAAUAUUAACAAAUUGUAUGGCAAUACAAUGUGUGCAUUACCUAUGAUAAAUUACCCUGCAGAGCAGAUCAACUUUUUAUUGAUAUCGCCCAAACAAUUAGGCUACAGAAUGAAAUCCAUACGGACGAUGUAACUAAAAUUAAGACUGGGUCAUUUGAUGAUCCUAUCUAUAUUGAUGAUCGAGUUGUAUAACAUGACUGUCCGACGUUCAGUCCGAACGGUGGUUGUUGUCAUUUGUGUAUUACUCGCUUGCGCUCCAGUCGGGUCUAUUGAGAGGAUGUUCCUGUCAUUAGAUUUUCUAUUGACAGGAUAUUCCUUUAAUAAUCUUGUGAACAACAUCUUGUGAUCCCAGGUUACAACGACCAUUAUCAGCUACAUAUUUGCGCCAUUAGAAUUGCCAUUUUAUGCGACAAAUUGACGCUGGUUAGCGACUUGUUGGCGCCUGUUAGCGAAUGUCUUUCGCAAACAGGCGCGGCCCAAUGAGAUACCCGCUUUAAACAUCGUUUAUUUUUCAAAGCAUUCACGUCGAUUAUUACCGCUACACAUGUUAAUAUAACGUGCCGUGUUUCUAAAGUCAAGAGUCUGCAGACAACAGGUACAUUGUACUUGUAAACACCCACAGAAUACCCGCAAAACAACUGGGGCCUCUGUUCUCUAAUGGGCUUGUAGCUUGGCAUGAUGUCAAUUAAGAAUCAGUUACCACAAACUGCGAAUUGAAUCAUAACCUUACUAAAGCAAGGAAUCUGUCAAUUUUGUACCUCAGCUACAGUAGAAGAUGAAGUGCACGUCAUCUUAUAUCGAUCUAUGGAUAUCAAUUAUAUAGAAAUAUCCUAUUUAGCUGUUUAGAUAACGUUAUGUGAAUAUUGAUUAAAAAAUUACAUUCCUCAUGCGUUUUGAUAAACCGACUACAUUUUCACCACUACCAAGAAGCAAAAAGAAGCCAAUCUAAAUGCUGGACUAUUUGUUUGUUAAAACAUAUUUCCUAGCCUAUUUGAUCUAUAUGCUAGACUACUUUACUCUUACCAACAUGUGUAUAUUUGUAAACACGUCUUUGUUAUGACCUGAACGUAGCUCA